rnacentral:rRNA from 1 species
GACGAAGGGGGCAAGCGUUGUUCGGAAUUACUGGGCGUAAAGCGAGUGUAGGUGGUUGUUCUAGUCAGGUGUGAAAGCCUUGAGCUCAACUCAAGAAAUGCACUUGAUACUGGAUGACUAGAGGACCGGAGAGGAUAGUGGAAUUCCCAGUGUAGUGGUGAAAUACGUAGAGAUUGGGAAGAACACCAGUGGCGAAGGCGGCUAUCUGGACGGUUUCUGACACUAAGACUCGAAAGCGUGGGGAGCAAACAGG